UCCGUAGGGUGCGAGCGUUGUCCGGAAUUAUUGGGCGUAAAGAGCUUGUAGGCGGUCUGUCGCGUCUGCUGUGAAAAUCCGGGGCUCAACCCCGGACUUGCAGUGGGUACGGGCAGACUAGAGUGUGGUAGGGGAGACUGGAAUUCCUGGUGUAGCGGUGAAAUGCGCAGAUAUCAGGAGGAACACCGAUGGCGAAGGCAGGUCUCUGGGCCACUACUGACGCGGAGAAGCGAAAGCAUGGGGAGCGAACAGG
rnacentral:rRNA from 1 species